GAUGAACGCUGGCGGCGUGCCUAAUACAUGCAAGUCGAGCGAACAGACGAGGAGCUUGCUCCUCUGACGUUAGCGGCGGACGGGUGAGUAACACGUGGAUAACCUACCUAUAAGACUGGGAUAACUUCGGGAAACCGGAGCUAAUACCGGAUAAUAUAUUGAACCGCAUGGUUCAAUAGUGAAAGACGGUUUUGCUGUCACUUAUAGAUGGAUCCGCGCCGCAUUAGCUAGUUGGUAAGGUAACGGCUUACCAAGGCAACGAUGCGUAGCCGACCUGAGAGGGUGAUCGGCCACACUGGAACUGAGACACGGUCCAGACUCCUACGGGAGGCAGCAGUAGGGAAUCUUCCGCAAAGGGCGAAAGCCUGACGGAGCAACGCCGCGUGAGUGUUGAAGGUCUUCGGAUCGUAAAACUCUGUUAUUAGGGAAGAACAAAUGUGUAAGUAACUAUGCACGUCUUGACGGUACCUAAUCAGAAAGCCACGGCUAACUACGUG
rnacentral:rRNA from 1 species